rnacentral:tRNA from 1 species
UCAUAGCUCAGUGGAUAGAGCACCAGAUUCCGAAUCUGGGUGUCGGAGGUUCGAGUCCUCUUGGGC